rnacentral:sRNA from 1 species
AUUUGUUGCGGACAAAUAAAGUGAAUGUGCGCGUCAAUUCCGCCCGCGGUUAGAAUUUGUCCUUCGCCAGCAAUAACUUCAGUGCCGGCUCCUACUUCAAUAUCGAUAUUGUCUUGAAUAUCAGGGUUACCGGCUUUGCCAAUGAUGGCGAUACGACCAUUUUUAAUGCCUACAUCGGCUUUAACAAUGCCCCAAUGAUCAAUAAUUAACGCAUUGGUGAUCACUAAGUCUACCGUUUCAAAGCACGAGGCCUGACUUUGUCCCAUGCCGUCAC